rnacentral:rRNA from 1 species
ACUGGUUGAUCCUGCCAGUAGUCAUAUGCUUGUCUCAGAGAUUAAGCCAUGCAUGUCUAAGUACAUACCUUAAAACGGUGAAACCGCGAAUGGCUCAUUAAAUCAGCUAUGGUUCCUUAGAUCGUAAACGCUACAUGGAUAACUGUAGUAAUUCUAGAGCUAAUACAUGCCUUGAAUCCCUGACCCGCAAGGGGACGGGUGCAUUUAUUAGAACAGAACCAACCGGGUGCGGCUUAUGCUGUGCCUGUUACAUUCUGUGAUGACUCUGGAUAACUUUACUGAUCGCAGUCGGCCUUGUGUGUCGGCGACGGAUCUUUCAAAUGUCUGCCCUAUCAAUUUGUUGGUAGGUGAUUUGCCUACCAUGAUGAUAACGGGUAACGGGGAAUCAGGGUUCGAUUCCGGAGAGGGAGCCUGAGAAAUGGCUACCACAUCCAAGGACGGCAGCAGGCGCGAAAAUUACCCACUCCCAGCACGGGGAGGUAGUGACGAAAAAUACGGAUACGGGACUCAAUUGAGGCUCCGUAAUUCGAAUGAGUACAAUUUAAAUCCUUUAACGAGGACCAAUUGGAGGGCAAGUCUGGUGCCAGCAGCCGCGGUAACUCCAGCUCCAAAAGCGUAUAUUAAAGUUGCUGCAGUUAAAAAGCUCGUAGUUGGAUCUGGGUAGUGCGAUCGCAUGCUGUUGCUUGUUCACGGUCUUGGUUACGAUCAGGGCAGUGGUCAGCUCGGCGUAGUGGUUGUGCAACCUUUCAGCCGUGUCUGUGUUUUAUUAAACAGGUGUCGAUGGGUUAAUGAGUAUUGUAUCUUAUUGACCUGUUGGCAUGCUUUCGGAUGCCUUUAAACGGGUGUCGGGGGCGGACGGCAUCUUUACUUUGAACAAAUUUGAGUGCUCAAAGCAGGCCUAUGCGCCUGAAAAUUCUUGCAUGGAAUAAUGAAAUAGGACUUCGGUUCUAUUUUGUUGGUUUUCGGAUCCGAAGUAAUGGUUAAGAGGGACAGACGGGGGCAUUUGUAUGGCGGUGUUAGAGGUGAAAUUCUGGGAUCGCCGCCAGACAAACUACAGCGAAAGCAUUUGCCAAGAAUGUUUUCAUUGAUCAGGAGCGAAAGUCAGAGUUUCGAAGACGAUCAGAUACCGUCGUAGUUCUGACCAUAAACGAUGCCAACUGACGAUCCGCGUUGGUUCUAUAAUUGACAUCGCGGGCAGUCCCCGGGAAACCUUUAAGUCUUUGGGCUCCGGGGGGAGUAUGGUUGCAAAGCUGAAACUUAAAGGAAUUGACGGAAGGGCACCACCAGGAGUGGAGCCUGCGGUUUAAUUCGACUCAACACGGGAAAACUCACCCGGCCCGGACACUGUGAGGAUUGACAGAUUGAAAGCUCUUUCUUGAUUCGGUGGUUGGUGGUGCAUGGCCGUUCUUAGUUGGUGGAGCGAUUUGUCUGGUUAAUUCCGAUAACGAACGAGACUUUAACCUACUAAAUAGUAGACUGGUCCUCUGUGCUCGUUCAGGGCGCGGCUUCUACUGCUUCUUUAUGGAGUAGUGUGGUACCGAGCUCG